rnacentral:rRNA from 1 species
GCAGCAGUGAGGAAUAUUGGACAAUGGGCGAGAGCCUGAUCCAGCCAUGCCGCGUGCAGGAAGACUGCCCUAUGGGUUGUAAACUGCUUUUGUACGGGAAGAACAAGAGUCACGUGUGGCUCUCUGACGGUACCGUAAGAAUAAGGAUCGGCUAACUCCGUGCCAGCAGCCGCGGUAAUACGGAGGAUCCGAGCGUUAUCCGGAAUUAUUGGGUUUAAAGGGUCCGUAGGCGGGCCAUUAAGUCAGGGGUGAAAGUCUGCGGCUCAACCGUAGAAUUGCCCUUGAUACUGGUGGUCUUGAGUACUGGUGAAGUGGCUAGAAUAUGUGGUGUAGCGGUGAAAUGCAUAGAUAUCACAUAGAAUACCGAUUGCGAAGGCAGGUCACUAACCAUUCACUGACGCUGAUGGACGAAAGCGUGGGUAGCGAACAGGAUUAGAUACCCUGGUAGUCCACGCCGUAAACGAUGGAUACUAGCUGUCGGGAGACCAAUGGGUUUUUCGGUGGCCAAGCGAAAGUGAUAAGUAUCCCACCUGGGGAGUACGGCCGCAAGGCUGAAACUCAAAGGAAUUGACGG